rnacentral:lncRNA from 1 species
ACAUGAGCUUUCAGAGUUGGUUACACUGUUUUGGGUGGGGUGAAUAUUGCAUCAACACCAAGUUAAAACUUAUCUUUUGUUCUUUUUUGGAAAGAGAUGGUGAUAUAGGUUCCAGGGGAAUAGUCUUCACCAUGAGACAAAAAUCUAGUAAAGUCAAAGGUAUUAAAUAGGUUUGGAGUAUUUGAAAUGCAAGUCUGUGACAAAGGGAUGCAUGCUUUGUUUUGUUUGCUUUCUGUCUUUUUUCCUUCUGUCUGUCCAUCUUUCAAGCCUGGCGGGACUUUGUGAGGAGCACGUCAGUGGGAUCUAUCCUGAACAUAAAAAUUAAAAUGGACUUGCAGCCUGUUCCUAGCUCCGGAAAAGCUAAGGAAGCUAAAGGUCAAUACAAGCAACUUCAGUGGAAGUCACCACCUGGUUAUAAGACUACUGCUUUGGGCUGCAGAGGACAGACUGUGCGAAGAGAGCAAGAGCAGUUCUGGGACCUCAACUCGAACAGGAGAACCCUGAGCAGUGGCUACCUUUUGAAUAUSAUGCAGGGUAUCCACCUGAGUCCUUCUACUGCAGGAAUUGAAGCAGAUCCCUGAACUUAGUCCCUUUGCCAAAGGGGGCACUGCGUUAUGCAGCGACCUCACUGAGAUGAGGUACCUGACUGUAUCACUCGCAACGCAUGGGAUCCACCUGCAUUUUGUUUCCCACAGUGAGCUUGGGAGCUUGGAUUCAAACCUUCCUGGAGAGUGAAGGGGUUGCUGAAGAGGACUGGUGGCUGUCUGUUGGCCAGCAUGAUGCCCAUGAGGCACCACCAGGUAGCUGAGCUGAGARAGCCAGAUAGAGUGGGACUGCAGCUGCCUUAAGGUGUGUGCAGCAGGAAUGGGAGCCACAKGCUGUGAGUAUACCCCUGAACUCUUACACUCUUGCCUCCCCCCAUGUACCCUUCCUGCCUGACACUUGUGCAAGGAGCUGGGAUUCAACAGGUGUCCUUCAAAACCUGCUGAGGGCUCUAAACACCUACCCCGCUUGGCAUUUCUCCUUGACCCAUCUUCCAGACUCUCAUUGCACCUACUUUACAGAAAAAGUUCCCAUUUGUUCAUCUCCUUUGUUUCUGGUUGAUGUUCCCUUUUAUCCAAGUAGUGUUCAGAGUAGGUCCCUGUUUUCAGAGACAACAAAUCUAUUAACAGUUUUCUAUUAGAGAAGCACAGGCCAGGAGCAAAGGAGCCAAAUUAACUUCUUACUGUUUUUUCAUGAGUUGAGUCUACCCUUGCCCGUUCAGAAAAUGUCCAGGUCAUUCAGAAUGGCAUUUGCCUGCAAGAUUGUCAACAUGACUUCCUUCUACAGAAUUAAGGUGCUCUUGAAACAACCACUAUGUUUGCAGUUGUUUUUUAAGUAUUUGCAUAGUAAGGAAUCAGUCUGAUUAUGGAUACAUAAUUUCAUCUGAAGCGCAAGAAUGGCAUGAAUAAAAAUUCCAGAUAGAGUACA